GAGGUUGUGGCUCAGUGGUAGAGCACUCACCUUGCGCGUGCAAGGCCCUGGGUUCAAUCCUCAGCACCACA
rnacentral:tRNA from 1 species